rnacentral:rRNA from 1 species
CCUACGGGUGGCAGCAGUGAGGAAUAUUGGUCAAUGGUCGGGAGACUGAACCAGCCAAGCCGCGUGAGGGAUGAAGGUACAGAGUAUCGUACACCUCUUUUGUCAAGGAACAAAGGCGGGGACGUGUCCCCGGAUGAGUGUACCUGAAGAAAAAGCAUCGGCUAAACCCGUGCCAGCAGCCGCGGUAAUACGGAGGCUGCGAGCGUUAUCCGGCUUUCUUGGUUUUAAGGGGUGGGCGGGCGGUCUGUUCAGUCAGGGGUCAAACCCGGGGGCUCAACCCCGGCCCGCCGUUGAAACUGGCAGUCUCGAGUUGGAGAGAAGUAUGCGGAAUGCGCGGUGUAGCGGUGAAAUGCAUAGAUAUCGCGCAGAACUCCGAUUGCGACGGCAGCAUGCCGGCUCCACACUGACGCUGAGGCACGAAAGCGUGGGUAUCGAACAGGAUUAGAUACCCGUGUAGUC